rnacentral:lncRNA from 1 species
AAGAAGUUCAGCAUCUUCGUUAUUCCUCAACUAAUGAAAUCCUCCCUCGCCUCACAGCUCUUCAGACUAAGAUAUCAGCACCACACUGAGGUGCCGGUCUAGGAACCGGAAGUGCACCAGGAGCAGCUGCUCACUCAAACCAAACAGAGGCGCCCCAGUGAAGAAGCAUGCGACCCCAGAGAUGACUGCUUGGGUUCAAAUCCCAGCUUUUACUCUGUUGAACUAUUGGCAAACUAGAUGGCUUCCUGUCGCCUCAAUUUCCCAUUUGGCAUGUGAAGGUGCUGGGGAUUGGAUCCAGUGCUUUGCACAUCUACCACUGAGCUACAUCGCCAGCCCCCAAAUGCUUUUUAAAGGUUUGUGCUAGACAUGCCACCAGCAAAUUGUGGUGUGCUGUGUUCUCCAGAUCCUCCAGCUCGUCACAGUCGCUGUUCUCUGAGAAGUCUCCGCUCUGGUCAUCCGUCAGCGUCUUCAGGACCUCACUCUUUCUGUCGGUGGUUGGACAGGUCAACUUGGCUAGACGAGAGGCUUUUCCUGAAAGGCACAGCCCUUGGGGAGUCGAAGCUGCCGUUCCAGCAUCGAUGGUUCCCGUGCCACCUCCACUGCGCUGGCUCGCGCCAUCGUGACCCCAGGAAGAGCUGUGCCAACCAGAUAAGUUCCCCGUGACUCCCGCAAAUGUUCCCUCAGAGACACCAGAGUCCACAGAAUCCUGGUGGAACAGGAAGGGGUGGUGCCAGGAAUCUCCUGUAGUUCGUACAUGUCCAUUGUUUAAAAAGCCGUCAGAGGAACUGUGUCACCCAUGGCUUACUGCAAAUCUACCUUCUCUUCCGUGUUUUUCAAAAGUGGCUGUAGGUGUCUUAGCUGACUAUGUCGCUGAGAAAUUUAGCUAAGCAGGGCAAAGUCAUGCUGUGCUAUUUAGGUCCGUGGUCUCUUUUCAGCAUGGUGAGGCAUCCAACCUCAUGGCCAGGAUCCCAGAAUGUGGUCCUGUUUUCCGAACUCCUUGAGGUUACCAGCUGGAUCUCCCGAGAGGUUUUCUUGUUUUUUUUUUUUUGUUUUUUUUUUUUUGGGGGGGUUUUGGUUUUUCUCCGGUACUGGGAACGGAACUCACGACCUUGCGCUUGCCAGGCAGGCGCUUUGCCACUGAGCUAAAUCCCCAACCCUGGGUUUUCUUUUUAAAAGGGAGCUUAAAUAGCUUGGCCAGCAGCACCCCUUGUGACGAAGCACAGAGAAGCCAGGCUAUGCGUGGCUCACUUUCUUAGUCCCCUCAGCUGCUCAUCCUCAACACCUAAUUCCAGACACUUUUCCAAAAGGGGGGAGGGGGAGGGGAACAUAAAAAGUAUUUGUUACAUUUAAAAAGAAGGGUAAGAAAGAAAAGCUAUGUCUAUGUUUACCUCAUUCAAUUUUUUUUCUUUUUUUUUUUUUUUUUUUUUUUUUUUUUUUUUUUUU